rnacentral:tRNA from 1 species
UCCGAUGUGGUCUAGUGGCUAGGAGUAGGUUAACCCUUGACGCUGAUUGAAGCACUCUCUAACUGUUCAAAGUUUGUCGCUCUCAAUUCUCACAUGAGAAAGCACCGACAAGGCCGGGGUUCAAUUCCCCGCAUCGGAA